GGAGCCGUAGCGAAAGCGAGUUUUAACUGAGCGUUCAGUUACUUGACGUAGACCCGAAACCGGGCGACCUACCCAUGAGCAGGAGGAAGCGAAAGUAAAAUUUCGUGGAGGUCCGAACCCACGAGCGUUGAAAAGCUCGGGGAUGACUUGUGGGUAGCGGUGAAAUUCCAAUCGAGCCCGGAGAUAGCUGGUUCUCCCCGAAAUAGCUUUAGGGCUAGCCUCAAGGUGAGAGAUACGGAGGUAGAGCACUGAAUGUCCUAGGGGGUAUUGCACCUACCGAAGACUAUCAAACUCCGAAUGCCGUCAUCUUAUACUUGGGAGUCAGACUGUGGGUGAUAAGAUUCAUAGUCGAAAGGGCAACAGCCCAGAUCGUCAGCUAAGGUCCCUAAAUGUAAGUUAAGUGGUAAAGGAUGUGGGAUUGCACAGACAACCAGGAUGUUGGCUUAGAAGCAGCCACUCAUUCAAAGAGUGCGUAAUAGCUCACUGGUCGAGUGAUCCUGCGCCGAAGAUUUCCGGGGCUAAAACUUACUACCGAAGCUACGGCAUCAGUAAUGAUGGGUAGGGGAGCUUCCCAUACGGGUUGAAGCAUGACCGUAAGGACAUGUGGACAGUAUGGGAGUGAGAAUGUUGGCAUGAGUAGCGAGAUGUGGGUGAGAA
rnacentral:rRNA from 1 species